GAUGAACGCUGGCGGCGUGCCUAAUACAUGCAAGUCGAGCGAACAGACGAGGAGCUUGCUCCUCUGACGUUAGCGGCGGACGGGUGAGUAACACGUGGAUAACCUACCUAUAAGACUGGGAUAACUUCGGGAAACCGGAGCUAAUACCGGAUAAUAUAUUGAACCGCAGGGUUCAAUAGUGAAAGACGGUUUUGCUGUCACUUAUAGAGGGAUCCGCGCCGCAUUAGCUAGUUGGUAAGGUAACGGCUUACCAAGGCAACGAUGCGUAGCCGACCUGAGAGGGUGAUCGGCCACACUGGAACUGAGACACGGUCCAGACUCCUACGGGAGGCAGCAGUAGGGAAUCUUCCGCAAUGGGCGAAAGCUUGACGGAGCAACGCCGCGUGAGUGAUGAAGGUCUUCGGAUCGUAAAACUCUGUUAUUAGGGAAGAACAAAUGUGUAAGUAACUAUGCACGUCUUGACGGUACCUAAUCAGAAAGCCACGGCUAACUACGUG
rnacentral:rRNA from 1 species